AAGACACUGAUUGUCCCAAGAUGGUUGGCGAAUUUUUAUUCCAUUUCUUGCAAGUUGUCAUGGCUGAUGGUGGUGUUGUUGUUCACCUUGUUGUGGGCCAUGCUGCCCCUGCCCAUUUGUGCGCGGCUGCCCUUGUACACCAGCAGAAAUCCGAGGCGGUGUUCUGCUACCAUGCAGGUGUCGUCGCCGUUAUGGACUGCAACAUGAAUGCCCAAAGCAUGGUGUAGAUUCUCCAUCACGGGGCUUGUGUUACCUGCGUAACAAGAAUUGUUAA